UACGUAGGGCGCAAGCGUUAUCCGGAAUUAUUGGGCGUAAAGAGCUCGUAGGCGGUUUGUCGCGUCUGCCGUGAAAGUCCGGGGCUCAACUCCGGAUCUGCGGUGGGUACGGGCAGACUAGAGUGAUGUAGGGGAGACUGGAAUUCCUGGUGUAGCGGUGAAAUGCGCAGAUAUCAGGAGGAACACCGAUGGCGAAGGCAGGUCUCUGGGCAUUAAUCUGACGCUGAGGAGCGAAAGCAUGGGGAGCGAACAGG
rnacentral:rRNA from 1 species